rnacentral:rRNA from 1 species
AUGGCAAUUCUGCUGAAAACAGCGUCAGUCCGGGUUAGUUCCAUUCAAAUCAUACAAGUUAGAGUCCAAAACAAGGGCAAAAGUGUUUGGAAAAGUAGAUACAACGGAGACGUAUCAACUCCCCCAAGCUUAAACCCUUCCUUGUCCUCAAGCAAUUCAGUUGACAAACUGAAACAGAAAAAGAAAAAACUUUUACAAACUCUGUUUGCUCUUGUUGUUGUAGACAUGAAAAGCCAGCAUUCAAGUUUCAGCAAAUAUUAUGAACUAACCAUUCUCACAAUAACACAAAGGUCUCACAAUUACUCAUAUCAAUAG